CGUUCCCGGGCCUUGUACACACCGCCCGUCAAGUCACGAAAGUCGGUAACACCCGAAGCCGGUGGCCCCAACUCUUUGAGAGGGAGCCGUCGAAGGUGGGACUGGCGAUUGGGACU
rnacentral:rRNA from 1 species